rnacentral:rRNA from 1 species
GUUUACCAAAAACAUAGCCAAUAGAAAAAAUUAUUAAUGGUGAUGCCUGCUCAAUGAUUAAACAAUAACCAAUAAAAAAAAUUAAAUAGCUGCGGUAACACCUGACCGUACAAAGGUAGCAUAAUAAAUCGCCUACUAAUUAUAGGAUAGAAUGAAGGUAAAACGAAAACCCAACUGUCUCAAAAUCAAUAAAUCUAAAAUAGAAUGUGUGUGUAAAUCCACACUAAAACGGCAAGACGAUAAGACCCUAAGAACUUUACUAAAAACUUAAUUUAAAAAAAAAGAAAUAAGUUAUAGGUUUCGUUGGGGCAACGAUCUUUAAAAAAGUAACUAAGAUUAAAUAAUCAAUAUAAAAAAAAACUCUAUAAAAAUAUAUGUAAAAAAAAGAUAAGACCCAUUAAAAUAAAUAAAUUAAUGAUAAUAUAAUAAAAGUUCCUUAGGGAUAACAGCGUUAUAUCGUUUCAARARAACCAUCCAAACRAUGUUUGCRACCUCRAUGUURAAUUA